GAGUUUGAUCAUGGCUCAGAACGUACGCUGGCGGCACGUCUAACACAUGCAAGUCGAACGAAGUAGCAAUACUUAGUGGCAGACGGGUGAGUAACAUGUGGGUAUCUGCCCUUUGGCCUGGAAUAACACGAGGAAACUUGUGCUAAUACCGGAUAAGUCUUUACGGAGAAAGCUUUAUGCACCAUUGGAUGAGCCCGCACUUGAUUAGUUUGUUGGUAGGGUAAUGGCCUACCAAGACUAUGAUCAAUAGCUGAUUUGAGAGGAUGAUCAGCCACAUUGGGACUGAGACACGGCCCAAACUCCUACGGGAGGCAGCAGUGGGGAAUCUUGCACAAUGGAGGAAACUCUGAUGCAGCGAUGCCGCGUGAGUGAAGAAGGCCUUUGGGUUGUAAAGCUCUUUCGUCGGGGAAGAAAAUGACUGUACCCGAAUAAGAAGGUCCGGCUAACUUCGUGCCAGCAGCCGCGGUAAUACGAAGGGACCUAGCGUAGUUCGGAAUUACUGGGCUUAAAGAGUUCGUAGGUGGUUAAAAAAGUUGGUGGUGAAAUCCCAGAGCUUAACUCUGGAACUGCCAUCAAAACUUUUUAGCUAGAGUAUGAUAGAGGAAAGCAGAAUUUCUAGUGUAGAGGUGAAAUUCGUAGAUAUUAGAAAGAAUACCGAUUGCGAAGGCAGCUUUCUGGAUCAUUACUGACACUGAGGAACGAAAGCAUGGGUAGCGAAGAGGAUUAGAUACCCUCGUAGUCCAUGCCGUAAACGAUGUGUGUUAGACGUUGGAAAUUUAUUUUCAGUGUCGCAGCGAAAGCGAUAAACACACCGCCUGGGGAGUACGACGCAAGGUUAAAACUCAAAUGAAUUGACGGGGACCCGCACAAGUAGUGGAGCAUGUGGUUUAAUUCGAAGAUACGCGCAGAACCUUACCAACACUUGACAUGUUCGUCGCGACUCUAAGAGAUUAGAGUUUUCGGUUCGGCCGGACGAAACACAGGUGCUGCAUGGCUGUCGUCAGCUCGUGUCGUGAGAUGUUGGGUUAAGUCCCGCAACGAGCGCAACCCUCACUUUUAGUUGCCAUCAUUAAGUUGGGCACUCUGAAAGAACUGCCAGUGAUAAGCUGGAGGAAGGUGGGGAUGACGUCAAGUCCUCAUGGCCCUUACGUGUUGGGCUACACACGUGCUACAAUGGUAUCUACAACAGGAAGCAAAACAGCGAUGUUAAGCAAAUCCCGAAAAGAUACCUCAGUUCGGAUUGCACUCUGCAACUCGAGUGCAUGAAGCUGGAAUUACUAGUAAUCGUGGAUCAGCGUGCCACGGUGAAUGCGUUCCCGGGUCUUGUACACACCGCCCGUCACACCAUGGGAGUUGGUUCUACCUUAAGGCAAGGUUUAAUACCCUUGACCACGGUAUAGUCAGCGACUGGGGUGAAGUCGUAACAAGGUAACC
rnacentral:rRNA from 1 species